AGCCCUAGCACAGGUGCUGCAUGGCCGUCGUCAGCUCGUGCCGUGAGGUGUUGGGUUAAGUCCCGCAACGAGCGCAACCCCCGCCGUUAGUUGCCAGCGGUUCGGCCGGGCACUCUAACGGGACUGCCCGCGAAAGCGGGAGGAAGGAGGGGACGACGUCUGGUCAGCAUGGCCCUUACGGCCUGGGCGACACACGUGCUACAAUGCCCACUACAAAGCGAGGCCACCCGGCAACGGGGAGCUAAUCGCAAAAAGGUGGGCCCAGUUCGGAUUGGGGUCUGCAACCCGACCCCAUGAAGCCGGAAUCGCUAGUAAUCGCGGAUCAGCCAUGCCGCGGUCGAAUACGUUCCCGGGCCUU
rnacentral:rRNA from 1 species